CCCUUAGAUGUUCUGGGCCGCACGCGCGCUACACUGAUGCAUUCAACGAGCCUAGCCUUGACCGAGAGGUCCGGGUAUCUUUGAAACUGCAUCGUGAUGGGGCUAGAUUAUUGCAAUUAUUAAUCUUCAACGAGGAAUGCCUAGUAAGCGUGAUUCAUCAAAUCGCGUUGAUUACGUCCCUGCCCUUUGUACACACCGCCCGUCGCUACUACCGAUUGAAUGGCUUAGUGAGGCUUCAGGAUUGGCUUAUGGCGGGAGGCGACUCCUGCCUGGAGCCGAGAAUCUAGUCAAACUUGGUCAUUUAGAGGAAGUAAAAGUCGUAACA
rnacentral:rRNA from 1 species